rnacentral:rRNA from 1 species
ACGGGUGAGGAAUACAUCGGAAUCUGCCUUAUUGUGGGGGAUGACGUAGGGAAACUUACGCUAAUACCGCAUAAGACCGAAAGGUGAAAGUGGGGGACCGCAAGGCCUCACGCGAUAAGAUGAGCCGAUGUCGGAUUAGCUAGUUGGUGAGGUAAUGGCUCACCAAGGCGACGAUCCGUAGCUGGUCUGAGAGGAUGAUCAGCCACACUGGAACUGAGACACGGUCCAGACUCCUACGGGAGGCAGCAGUGGGGAAUAUUGGACAAUGGGCGCAAGCCUGAUCCAGCCAUGCCGCGUGGGUGAAGAAGGCCUUCGGGUUGUAAAGCCCUUUUGUUGGGGAAGAAAUCGUACGGGGUAAUAUCCCGUGCGGAUGACGGUACCCAAAGAAUAAGCACCGGCUAACUUCGUGCCAGCAGCCGCGGUAAUACGAAGGGUGCAUGCGUUACUCGGAAUUACUGGGCGUAAAGCGUGCGUAGGCGGUUCGUUAAGUCUGUCGUGAAAGCCCUGGGCUCAACCUGGGAAUUGCGAUGGAUACUGGCGAGCUAGAGUACGGUAGAGGAUGGUGGAAUUCCCGGUGUAGCGG